CCUGAAGUGAAAUUGCCUGUGCUUCAGUGUACAAAUCAAUACGCACAAUUCAGGAUUAUGUUUGUAUGGGAGGAGAAGGUGAGAAUAAUUUUCUCUCAGGUCAGUGUUCUUGAUUCUUGAAUUUUUUGGUAGUAAUACAAAGUAGUGCCAUUGUUAGAAUCCCGCAUUACUUAUCAAAAGGCUGGCAUACGUUUUCCCAUAGUUCUCAGGUUCCUUUGGAUUCAGAAUGAUCAGGAUUGGGAACAGAACUGACUUGCAAGGGCAGUAUUUUUUCCAGAGCGUCUUUAAUUUUUGGUUAAGUGAAAAACAUGGGCUUUAAUUCAGGAACUAAAAACUGCUACUGUUGUUUCAGGGCAACCAGCUCUCAUUUUACUAAAAUAACAGUAUUUCUAUCCACAGAAAUACCUAAUAGAGGUCAUGGUAGCAUUUAUAGAUAUUAACAAGAAUUUAGAAGCAUGAACUAAGAUGUGUUUAAAUUGUGCCUCCCAUCUCCCUGAUGUGAAGCAGAAUUAAUCCUACCAACUAAAAAAAAAAAAAAAAAAUUAAAAAAUGGGUGAAAUUAGGCUAAUUCUCUCUACAUUGUUUACAUUCUACUAGACACUUACUUUAGCGUAUCUAGAAAAAAUGGCAGCUAUAUUGACUACGUUGGUAUAAGUUCUUCAUUAAAAUCCUUUUCAAUCA